GAUGAAGAACGUAGCGAAAUGCGAUAAGUAAUGUGAAUUGCAGAAUUCAGUGAAUCAUCGAAUCUUUGAUCGCACCUUGCGCCCUUUGGCUAUUCUGAAGGGCAUGCCUGUUUGAGUAUCAUGAACACCUCAACUCUCAUGGCCUGCCAUGAUGAGCUUGGACUUUGGGGGUCUUGCCGGCCUAGCGUCGGCUCCUCUCAAAUGGAUCAGCUUGCCAGUGUUUGGUGGCGUCACAGGUGUGAUAACUAUCUACGCUCGUGGUUCCCCACCAUGUAACCUUCAGCGAUGGAGGUUCGCUGGAGCUCACAGAUGUCUCUCCUAGGGGAGGACAGCUUUACGAACGUUUGAUCUCAAAUCAGGUAGGACUACCCGCUGAACUUAAGCAUAUCAAUAAGCGGAGGA
rnacentral:misc_RNA from 1 species